rnacentral:rRNA from 1 species
UACGUAGGGGGCGAGCGUUGUCCGGAAUCAUUGGGCGUGAAGCGCGCGCAGGCGGCCGCGCGAGCCCGGCGUGAAAGCCCCCGGCUCAACCGGGGGAGGCCGUCGGGGACCGCGCGGCUGGAGGCCGGUAGGGGAGAGCGGAAUUCCCGGUGUAGUGGUGGAAUGCGUAGAGAUCGGGAGGAACACCAGCGGCGAAGGCGGCUCUCUGGCCCGGUCCUGACGCUGAGGCGCGAAAGCGUGGGGAGCGAUCCGGAUUAGAAACCCGAGUAGUCC